UUUGGAGAUUCUCGAGAAGUCAUGUGGAUUCCAGCGUCUUCUUGUCGUUGUCGUUGUUGCUGUUCUUCAUAUGAUUUCGUAUUUUGAAAUUGCUGAUUGUUUUCUGAGCUUUCAGUUUCUUUUUGCUGUUGUUGUUGUUGAUCUGCAUUUAAUUCUCGGUUCUGCGAAUCCUGUGAAUUCUUCCCUGUAUCAGCGUUUUCUUGUUGUUCCUGCUGUUGAUCUUCAUUUUGUUUUUGA
rnacentral:misc_RNA from 1 species